rnacentral:rRNA from 1 species
GAUGAACGCUAGCGGCAGGCUUAAUACAUGCAAGUCGAGGGGCAGCAUGAUUGUAGCAAUACAAUUGAUGGCGACCGGCAAACGGGUGCGGAACACGUACACAACCUCCCAAUAAGUGGGGAAUAGCCCAGAGAAAUUUGGAUUAAUACCCCGCAACAUAACGAUGUGGCAUCACAUUGUUAUUAUAGAUUUUUCGCUUAUUGAUGGGUGUGCGGCUGAUUAGAUAGUUGGCGGGGUAACGGCACACCAAGUCUACGAUCAGUAGCUGAUGUGAGGGCAUGAUCAGCCACACGGGCAGUGAGACACGGGCCGGACUCCUACGGGAGGCAGCAGUAAGGAAUAUUGGACAAUGGACGCAAGUCUGAUCCAGCCAUGCCGCGUGAAGGAUUAAGGUCCUCUGGAUUGUAAACUUCUUUUAUAAGGGACGAAAAAAGGCUUUUCUAAGUCGUCUGACGGUACCUUAUGAAUAAGCACCGGCUAACUCCGUGCCAGCCGCCGCCGUAAGAC